AGACCCGAAACCCGGUGAUCUAGCCAUGGGCAGGUUGAAGGUUGGGUAACACUAACUGGAGGACCGAACCGACUAAUGUUGAAAAAUUAGCGGAUGACUUGUGGCUGGGGGUGAAAGGCCAAUCAAACCGGGAGAUAGCUGGUUCUCCCCGAAAGCUAUUUAGGUAGCGCCUCGUGAAUUCAUCUCCGGGGGUAGAGCACUGUUUCGGCAAGGGGGUCAUCCCGACUUACCAACCCGAUGCAAACUGCGAAUACCGGAGAAUGUUAUCACGGGAGACACACGGCGGGUGCUAACGUCCGUCGUGAAGAGGGAAACAACCCAGACCGCCAGCUAAGGUCCCAAAGUCAUGGUUAAGUGGGAAACGAUGUGGGAAGGCCCAGACAGCCAGGAUGUUGGCUUAGAAGCAGCCAUCAUUUAAAGAAAGCGUAAUAGCUCACUGGUCGAGUCGGCCUGCGCGGAAGAUGUAACGGGGCUAAACCAUGCACCGAAGCUGCGGCAGCGACACUGUGUGUUGUUGGGUAGGGGAGCGUUCUGUAAGCCUGUGAAGGUGUGCUGUGAGGCAUGCUGGAGGUAUCAGAAGUGCGAAUGCUGACAUAAGUAACGAUAAAGCGGGUGAAAAGCCCGCUCGCCGGAAGACCAAGGGUUCCUGUCCAACG
rnacentral:rRNA from 1 species